CCUACGGGAGGCAGCAGUGAGGAAUAUUGGUCAAUGGACGAGAGUCUGAACCAGCCAAGUAGCGUGAAUGAUGACUGCCCUAUGGGUUGUAAACUUCUUUUAUAUGGGAAUAAACUGUUCCACGUGUGGACUUUUGUAUGUACCAUAUGAAUAAGGAUCGGCUAACUCCGCGCCAGCAGCCGCGGUAAUACGGAGGAUCCGAGCGUUAUGCGGAUUUAUUUGGUUUAAAGGGAGCGUAGGUGGAUUGUUAAGUGAGUUGUGAAAGUUUGCGGCUCAACCGUAAAAUUGCAGUUGAAACUGGCAGUCUAGAGUACAGUGGAGGUGGGCGGAAUUCGUGGUGUAGCGGUGAAAUGCUUAGAGAUCACGAAGAAUUCCGAUGGCGAAGGCAGCUCCCUGGACUGCAACUGACACUGAGGCUCGAAAGUGUGGGUAUCAAACAGGAUUAGAUACCCCAGUAGUC
rnacentral:rRNA from 1 species